rnacentral:tRNA from 1 species
AUUUAUUCCUUUAAUAUUUUGUUUUAAAAAGGGUUUUGAAAACCUUUUAAGGAGAAAACUUUCUCCAACCUUACGUAAAUUAAAU